GCAAUUUACUCACAGAACUGAGCUUUGGGACAUUUGAAGCAUGGCAUGGAAUGCAGUUUUUAAACCAAGUAAUUCUCAAUCAUAAUCCUCUGAGGACUGUCAAAGAUUCAUCUCUUUUUAAAUUACCAGCAUUAAAAUAUCUAGACUUGGGACAAACACAUGUGCCACUUACAGCACUUGAGAACAUAGUCACAAUGGCUUUGGAAUUGGAAACAUUGUAAGUUAGUUUUGUUUUUCUUAGAUUUAUUCGACUAGGGUGUUUUGGUUAAUUUUUUUAUUAUUAUUAUUUUAGUUUGUUAGUACAUGUGUGUAUGUCAUAAUGAUUACAUUCCUUGGAGGAGGAG
rnacentral:lncRNA from 1 species